rnacentral:rRNA from 1 species
AGAAUGCCGGAAUGAGUAGCGAGAAUUAUGUGGGAAUCAUAAUGGCCGAAAAUCUAAGGUUUCUUGGGGAAGGUUCGUCCGCCCAAGGUAAGCCGGGAGCUAAGGCGAGGCCGAGAGGCGUAGCCGAUGGACAACAGGUUGAGAUUCCUGUACUGCUGUAUAACAGAACUGUGGGGACACAGAGGGAGA